AGCAUGAAGGUUUCAGUCUCACAUUAAAUUUGUUUAAUGUGGGACUGAAACAGUCAUGCU
rnacentral:miRNA from 1 species